rnacentral:rRNA from 1 species
AGAGUUUGAUCCUGGCUCAGAACGAACGCUGGCGGCAGGCUUAACACAUGCAAGUCGAACGCCCUCUUCGGAGGGAGUGGCAGACGGGUGAGUAACGCGUGGGAACCUACCUUAAGGUACGGAAUAACACAGAGAAAUUUGUGCUAAUACCGUAUGUGCCCGAGAGGGGAAAGAUUUAUCGCCUUAAGAUGGGCCCGCGUUGGAUUAGCUAGUUGGUGAGGUAACGGCUUACCAAGGCGACGAUCCAUAGCUGGUUUGAGAGGAUGAUCAGCCACACUGGGACUGAGACACGGCCCAGACUCCUACGGGAGGCAGCAGUGGGGAAUAUUGGACAAUGGGGGAAACCCUGAUCCAGCCAUGCCGCGUGAGUGAUGAAGGCCUUAGGGUUGUAAAGCUCUUUCGCUGGGGAAGAUAAUGACGGUACCCAGUAAAGAAGCCCCGGCUAACUUCGUGCCAGCCGCCGCGGUAAUUC